UUCGACUUUCAGUUCGCCGUUUCUGCCUGGAAUCGCCAUUAUGCAUUUAAAGCGAUUAGCAUGGCAAACGAGCUGGGGCAAUUACCGCAUGGCAGAAAAUUGCUAAUAUUUUCGGUUUUUUGGGUGGUGGGAGGGAUUGGGCAGUUGAUGGGCCUGGACAGCCACUUCAAUGAGCGAGGGCUCAACGCCGCUUUAGCGCUUUGUUUACCUUAGUCGUGCCGGCUUGUAGACACCGUCGGCUGGUUCCGUUCUCAUCGCCGGGUCCUGUCAAAACAUCCUGUCCACCUCUCUCCCUCUUUUCCCCUGGGUUUAUAAUAUUUUCAUAAAGAUGGCGGAGGGACCACAGGCUGCAAACUAAUGACUGUCAGAAACAUCGCUUCAAUUUGUAAUAUGGGCACCAAUGCCUCUGCUCUGGAGAAAGACAUCGGCCCAGAGCAGUUCCCAAUCAAUGAACACUACUUUGGUUUGGUUAAUUUUGGGAACACCUGCUAUUGUAACUCUGUGCUGCAAGCGCUGUACUUCUGCCGACCAUUUCGAGAGAAUGUACUUGCAUACAAGGCACAGCAGAAAAAGAAGGAAAACCUCCUGACGUGUCUAGCUGACCUCUUCCAUAGUAUUGCCACCCAGAAGAAAAAGGUCGGUGUGAUUCCUCCCAAGAAAUUUAUUUCCAGGUUACGCAAAGAGAAUGAUUUGUUUGAUAACUACAUGCAACAAGAUGCACAUGAGUUUCUGAACUACCUGCUGAAUACCAUCGCUGACAUCUUGCAGGAAGAGAAGAAGCAAGAGAAACAGAAUGGGAAACUGAAGAAUGGAAAUGCAAAUGAAAUUGAAGAGAACAACAAACCUGAACCCACCUGGGUGCAUGAAAUUUUUCAAGGAACACUCACUAAUGAAACGAGAUGUCUGAACUGUGAAACAGUUAGCAGCAAAGAUGAAGAUUUUCUGGAUCUUUCAGUUGACGUGGAACAGAACACCUCAAUUACACACUGCCUCAGAGACUUCAGCAACACAGAAACACUGUGCAGUGAACACAAGUAUUAUUGUGAGACCUGUUGUAGUAAACAGGAAGCUCAGAAAAGAAUGUGCGUGAAGAAGCUGCCCAUGAUCCUUGCAUUGCACUUGAAGAGGUUCAAAUAUAUGGAACAAUUGCAUCGGUACACAAAACUCUCUUACCGAGUGGUGUUUCCACUGGAACUGAGGUUGUUUAAUACAUCAGGAGAUGCUAUUAAUUUGGACCGGAUGUAUGAUCUGGUGGCUGUUGUUGUUCACUGUGGCAGUGGUCCUAACCGUGGACACUACAUAACUAUUGUGAAAAGUCAUGGCUUCUGGCUUUUGUUUGACGAUGAUAUUGUUGAGAGCUUUCAAGUGUCAGCUUGGCUCACUGGUAGCUCGUUCACCUCCUGAGUCAGAAGCUGGUGGAUUCAGGACCCACUGCAGUACAUAAUCUAGGCUGACACUUCAGUGCAGUACUGAGGGAGUGCUGCAUUGUCGGAGGUGCCAUCACACAGAAAAUUGAUGCUCAAGCUAUUGAAGAAUUCUACGGUUUGACUUCAGACAUUUCAAAAAACUCAGAGUCGGGAUAUAUUUUAUUUUAUCAAUCAAGAGAGUAACAUGUAAAACACUGGCCUAAAUAAUCAGAAGGAUAAAUAUUUAACUUGCUCAAAGAAGAUCAGGCCAUUGCCAUCCAAUUAUUAGGGCAUUCAUUGUCCUUUUUAGGGCCUUUUGUUCAGGGCGUCGGAAUAGGGCUUAUGAUCAUACUCCAGGCAUUUGUAGGUUAAUGGCAAAUAUAUGAUCUUAUGGGAGAUGCAAGUCAGUAGUUUUGACAAGGGAACAUCCAGUCAAAAUACUAACAAAGGUAACGCAAGUAUGCAUGCAAGACUUUCUUUCUAAAAAAAAAUUAAGUAAACCAAUAGAUAUGGCAGUGUCCCAUUUUUUUCCCCCCACUGAGGUGUACUUUCCUUGCUGAGCCCAAACAUUUGUUUAUUUUUACUAACAUUAGACCUGGAUUUUAGAGGAAAAUGGGGAAAAACAAAGAUAAAUUACCUCUAAAUCCUGCUGAAAUGCAAGUUUGCCUGAUCCAAAAUGACUGUUGAUUCACUGGACUGUAGAAAGAAAUUGAUUGUAUUUUGGUUGAUUUUUUUUUCUCCCAAUGUAAUUGCAAAAAUCAUUGCUUAUUGCUUCAUAAUGUGAUUUGUUUUUAAAAACCCUUUUCAUGCCAUUCUAAUGUAUAGCAGGUGUAUGUCAGAGAAAAUGAAACUUAGUUUGAUCAUUUAGUUUUUUCAUACAGCUGAAUGGUUUCUGUAUUUUGCAUGUGAAAAAGGUCCUAUCUGCUGAAAGGUCAAGAGAAUGGGAACAAACCAUGAACUAUUAUUUUAUUCUGAUGUGCAAUGAAAUAGUUUACAAGCGGAAUUUGAACCUUAUCAAAAGUCAUUUUUAAAUGGUGCAGUAUGAUUUUUAAUAGUCUGAUGGUUUAGGCUUUAUUUUAAAUGGCUUCCCGAUAUACCUAGAUCACGUAGCUAUUAUCUAAUAUAGCUGGACCACAUUGAUUGUUGCUAACAAUCAAAUGUAUUAUAUGACUUUUUGUGAUGUAAUCUAGUGUUACUACUUAAUCAUAUCUAUGAGAAUACAAUAAAUAUAUUAGCAAUGGAUUGGUUUGACAUUAGAGGCCAAGGUAUGACAAAGAAAAUGUCUUUGGCAAAUUGAGUAGACAUCUGGAAUGGAUAGAAAUAACUUCACAAAGGAUCAAAACAAAAACAUUGAUGAUAAAUGGUUAGGAGCAAAACUGAAACUAGAUUGAUGGUGCUUGAUUGAAUGUAUCGGUUUAAAAGAAUAUAUUAUCUCUUGGCCUAUUUCCUUUCAUUUUAGAUUAAAUUGAUAAAUUUGAUUUAUCAAGUGCCAGUGAAAUGAAAGGGCUUCUUCUAGUUAAAAAUGUUACUUGAUUAAUACUUCCUGUCUGCAUCUUUAAGAUUCAUCUCACUUUGAUUCUUUUAAACCUUUACAAAAUAUUUACUUUUGUUUGUUUCUAUAUUAAAAUUCUUUGUUCCAAUCCAUAGUCUACAUCAGACUGAUGUGCUAUUGACAUAUCUGUACCACCUGCACAAAAUUUUAAAUGUAUGUCAUAUCUUCCUGCUUCUGACCCUUUCAAAAAUCACUGAUUUGGUCAUUUACAUUAUUGAAAUAAUAGCUAUUAAUACAGUCUGUACACAGACAUUUUGUGCUUAUUUAUCUAAACUCUGCAGUUACUUGCCUUUACAAAAGUUCUGACAAAUAUGGUUUCAGUCUAGUUUGAAGUGAAUAUUGUGGUCAAUUUGCUGCAGUCCAACUCAUGAGUUUUUGUGGUGAUCAAAUUGUACUAGGUUUCAAUUUGUGACUUUCCACUUUUGAAAUUGGUUUUGUAUAGUUGCUUCUUACUAAUGACCAGCAUCCGUAGCACUUGUUUAUAUAACCUAGGAAUGUUGCACUAUUUUUAUAAAAAGUGUUCUCAGCUCAAUAAAAUGGUCUGCUUGACCAUUUAAUUUGCAAUCAGUUUAAAAGCAUGGAGAUAAAAAUUACUUCUGUUGAUCCUCCAUGUACGCAGAUCACAUUAGUUAAUUACGUUAAUGGAAGUCCAAAAAUACAGGGAGAUCAAGUCAUCUAAAAAUUGAUCCCCUUGGAACCUACCUAAUGGAUUUCUUAAAGCAAUCUCCUUGAUAUGAAAUGCUUAUCUGAAUGCAGUGCAGGGUUUAUACAAGUUACCAAGGCCAUGUUUCUUCCAGCAUUGGAGUUGAGAGGAAUUACAAAGUCCUUAUUAAGAUUGGCUAAGCCUCCUGGUCUGCUGUUUCCCAAAACUGCUGGGAUUUAUUCAUAGUUCUGAAGUGUUGAUUAGAUGGGCAUAAUUUUAGGAAGUUAAAUUCACAAUUUGUUUUGAUUCUAAAUUCUGGAACCUUCCUAACUGUCCCAGAUUGAAUCUCCAAAGUCAACAUUCUCCAUCAGGAAUACAGUGAACAUUUUUCAGCCCACCUAUCCUAUUUGGAAUUUAACAUUUAAAAAAAAGGCAUAGUUUAGACCACUUUAUCUUUGCCCUGAUGAACUGUAUUGUUUCUUUUCAGUUUACCUUAGCUUAACAUAUUUGGCCUAAAUAUUAGGCCAUAAUCUCAGCAUGCAACUGAUGGUCCACAGAUGAGUAUUUCCUUGUUAAAGGAUGGAGAUUAUCAGAUCAUACUACUACUGCUUCAAAGAUGCCUUUCCCUUUUGUUGCUCCCAGAGAUUUAAGGUGGUCACUUUCUUGAUUUUUGUGUUAAUCCAGAAAAUCCUUGCCCAGUAAUGUACCUUCAACCAGGACUUAUCUGUAGUGAAGUCUUUCAUUCUCAAGGGAACUUUCAGGGGAACAUUGCUAUGGAGUUGUCUUUGGGGAGUUGACUAAUGGCUGUGAAUUUUCAGCAUUUGAAGGUCUGAAAAGCAAGUUUGAGUUUGGAGGAGGAAAUGAACAGCAAGCAACAUGGAUGUGCUGGCAGCACUUGCUUCUUAAAAACUUUCAGAAGCAUAGAUAAAUCACUGACUGCCAAAAAAAUCAGAUACCAUUAGAAAGUGUUGCCUCAUUUUCUCUUUUUGUAUCUAUCCUCAGUUCAAACCCUGGUAAUAUUUUUGUAUGCUUUGGUGUACCUAAUGUACCAUAUUGUACUUUAUGUCCAAUUGAUUCCAGUAAAUUCUGUCAUUGCAGGUUAAACUUCCAACUCCACAGUUACAUUGUCUCCCCUUCUUUCAAUUAUUUAAAAAAAUUGAGUUAAUUUGCAAUUUUUUAAUCUAAGUGUACAUUUUUCUAAAUCUAGGCAAAUGCAUCUUCAUUUUUGUUUUAGUAAUCAGUCAUAGAAACAUUCUGCCAUUUUACUGAGCAUCAUUUAACCAUUCCAAUUACUACAGACAAAAUUUCUGAUAGAGGGCUAGAAAUGUUAGUGAAUCCCAGAAUACAUUCAAGUAUGCAGCUUUUGAGAGGACCAAACAAAUCCAGCUUGGCAUGGUUUCCUCUCUAAUAGGCACCUUUUUAUUAACCAGAUGUUUCCAUUUUAAAAUCUACAAUGGAAAAGAUUAGUUUACAGGUGUAAAGAUAAUAAUAGCAAUCCUUUUGAAAUGUGAUGUUUUUGUUGAUGUCAUUUGUUACAUAAUAGCUCUAUCUCAUUAUCUCCUAAAAAUUUGUGGCUGUUGUCAACAUGUUCAAAAGGGCAAUGAUUUAAGUCAAGGUUAUUCCUGUGGCAUUUGAAUAGCAGAGAGCUCACCCACUGUUGGGGACAAUGUAUUUCCCUUCAUCUAAUGCAAUAAAAAGUAUCCCUUUAGCUCAUGACUAUUUGUAGAAUACUGUAGGUACAGAAAAACUGCUAUUUUUGCUAAUGUAGGAUACUGUCAUCUGUGUAUUGAAAACCAGAAUUUUCAUUUUAAUUGGAUAAUGUUAGAAUUAAAGUCAUUGCUUGAUUUAGAUCUGAUAUAAAAGAGGAAAUGUCUUUUGGUUUUCAUUAAGGAUUGAGUAAGCUUAACUGUAAGUCUUUUCAGUUAUAUGCCUGCUUAAGGCUGCACACCUUUUUCCAUUCUUCAGUAUAGUUGAUCUUACUUUUUAGUUGUUCUGCCUUGCCAGUCAUUACAUUGAAACCCUGAUUUUUUUCCCCCCCCCCCCACCCCCCAUGCAUUUCUUCCAAUCUCUUGGUGUCACUUCAAGAGAAGAAAUGGCCACUUUCACUAAUUGAUGGUAUUUCUGUGGGGGUUCCAUCAAGCAUAUAGCAAGGAAUCAGGAAGAUUUUGUAAAAAUUCAGGACCCAAAGCUUCAGACACUUAAAUUCACUUAUUUCAGGAAAUAACUGCUGAAAUUGUACCUGUGACAACCCAUAUCUUUGAAAAAGAUUAUUUUAUGGUGAACAUUUAUCAUAGCAUUUUACAUCAAUCAGUAAAGCAGAUUUUUUUUUAAACCCCUCCAGAGAGAAUAAAAUUUGAAGGAGAUGCAUAGUAAAGGUGGAGCAAAAACAAGAAGUGCUGGAAAUACUCAGCAGGAUAGGCGGAGAGAAACAGUGGAUGAUUCUGGUCGAUGACCUUUCAUUCAAACUUGGGGGGAGAAAAGUGAAAUGCAAAGAAGUGGAACUGAUAGAAUAAUGAGAAUGCCCAUGAUGGGGUGAAUACCAGGAGAGAUUAAAUGGCAUAAAGGCAGUAGCACCAGCUGAGAGGAGAUGGUGAAAAGUUGUUAAUCAAAGCUAAACUGUUGGGAGGAGGCAUAAACAGGAGGUAAAUAAGAACAAAGGAUAGAGAGGAAAAAACAAUGCUGGAACUGAGAUACAGAAUACUGCAGUGGCUAAAUGAGGGGGAUAAAAUUUCAGAUUAUCAACUAACAUCACAGGUUAAUUUCAUUAGAAUUAGCAGUUCUGAGACAAACUGGAAAAGCUGGCUAUCUGAAAUUGUCAAAUUCAUUGAGUUCUAAGGGCUGUAGCAUGGCUAAUCAGAAGAUGAGAUGCUGUUCCUUAAGCUUUUAGAGACUAAAGACUGAGGUCAGAGUGAAAUGGCAGGCAUCUGGAAGCUGAGAGUCACCUUGGCAGAUGGAACAGAGAUCUUCUGCAAAGCAGUCACCCAGUUGGUUUUUCAAAUGUAGGGAAGAUUGCAUAGUGAGCAUUAAAAUAUCACUAAAUUGUGCUCUAACUCGGAUGCACAAAUGAAUUACUGUUUCAUCUGGAAAGAUUGUUUGGAUGGUAAGAAGAAAAGGAAAAUGGCAUAGUUGCAUCUCCUGAGGUUUACAUGGGAUGAUGCUGUGAGAAGGAAAUUGGUGUUGGUGGAGAUGGAGUGAACCAGGGAGUCACAAAGGGAUUAAUUCUUUCAGAAUGCUGAAGGGGAGGAAAGGAUUUACCCGAUGGUGGGAGAAGGGUAGAGAGAAGAAAUGAAGCAGGUUGUGUUGAAACACUGGUGUGGGAAGUGAAGUGAAGGUGUGAUGGAGCAGGUGAAACUGGGAGAAUGGAAUGGAGUACUUGCAGGAAGUAGGCUGGGAAGAGGUGUAGUCAAGAUAGCUAUGCCAGUCUACGAACUUGAAUUACAUGUUCUGUACAAGAAUAGGAAGCGUCAAUAAAUGGAGAAGUCUUGUUUUGAUCCUUUUUGGGACCUCUCUUUUUCUAGCAUAUAGAUUACUGCAUUGGUGCAUCCUCUUCUAGUACAGAACUUGAAAGCUUCAUUACUUUUGCGACCAAAUACCACCUUACUGUCACUUUCAUGUGGUCCAUCUCUGCUCUUCCCUUUUCUUGACCUCUCUACAUUCAUCUCAGAAGAGAGGUUUGCAACCAAUAUCCAUUACAAGCUGACAUACUCCUACGGCUAUCUUGACUACAUCAUUUCUCACUGUGUCGCCUCUAAUGUCAUUCCAUUCUCACUCUUUCACUGGCUGUGUUGUAUCUGUUCCAAUGCACCACUCUGCACAUCAAUCCUUCUGAGAUCUCUCUCUUCCUUCAGCUGUGAUUUGCCUUUCUUCAUCUUGUUUAGCAGGACUCUCAUCUGCAUUUAUUUCCUACACCACCUGUAACCUAUCCAUAGCAAGUUACAGUUCCCUGUAUUCUCACUUUACACACCACCAACAUCACAUUCAACAGAUCAUCCUCCAUAAUUCCCAUCACAUUUAACAAAACACCACUACCAGACAAAGCUUCUCUUUGCCUUUCAACAUUCCAAAGGCAGUGUUCCCUUCAUGAUUCCCUGUUACUCUUCUAUCUCAACCAAAACCCAUUCACUUUCUCACUUCACUUUAUCAUGCAACCACAGAAAUUGCAACUCCAACCUUUUUAUCUCUUCCCUUCCCACCAUCCAAGAGGCCAAACAUUCCUUUCAUCUGAAACAGAAUUCAAUUUUAUUACUUCCAAUUUCAUGAAUUACAUUCUAUGCUCGCAAUGUAUUUGCCUCUAUUGGUGACCUCUUUGCAGAACACCUCCAUUCAGUGUGCAGAAAUGCUUGUCACUUUAAUUCUUGGUCCCACUCUGACCUUGGCAUCCUUGGCCUGUUAGACCAUUCCAACUAAGCUCAACAUACUUGAGAAACAAUAUAUUGUAUUCUGACCUGGUGGGUGACAGUCCUUGGGACUUGACAUUGAAUUCAACAACUUCUGACAACCACUGUUUGUUGUUCAUGUCAGAACUGAAAGGUAAUGAGUUUGCCUGACCUGGAUAUUUCCACCAUUUUUUAAAAUAAGAUUUCUAGGAAUUGCAGUGUUGUGUAUCUCAUUGUUCCAUCAUUGUCCCUUGCCCCUAUCUUCAUUCAUCUUUUGUUUGCUUCUCCAGACAGAUCAGCCAUGACCGACAAUCCUUCACCACCCUCUCUCAGGUGGCACUAACAGCAUUUGUAUUGUUCACUCCCUCAAUCCCAGAAGUUCCCUAUUGUUCUCGUCAUCCUCCCCUUCUUUGCCUUUUACAAUAUGCUUGUUUUCUAACUUUUUUACUAUUUUUGAUGAAACUUUAACACAAUUGUAGUUUACCUGCAGAGUAUUCCUAGCAUUUGUUCCUAUUUCAUAUUUCUAACAUCUGCAGUAUUUUGCUUUUCACAAAGUGGAGCAAAUUGGAUUGCAAGAAGCUUCACCAUGUAUACCAUUGCCAGAGUAGUGUUUUGUUUUUAACUGCAUUAUUAGCUAAAAUUUUUUUUUUGCUUCGUAUUAUUUGAAAGGCAACCGAUCUAAUUGUAUUGAUUAUAUAGUUUAAACUGACAAGUGCUUCGAUAUGAAUCUGCACUAGUGUUUUAGGUUUAGGAGUCCAGGCUUCCUGAUUUUAAUUUUCUCUUCCUCCCUCCCAUUGUAAUAAACAUUUGUAUCUAGAGAUGAAAGAGUAUUAACUUGUAUUCUGUAGAACUAGCCACUUUUUCUGUUCUUAAUUCACACAAAAUACCCCAAAUGAUUUUGUGUGUAUAUUUACAUUAACAUUCACAGACUUGUUACCUCUAGUUGGAAUUAACAGUUGAAUUCAGAUGUGACCUUGCAGUGUAUUGGUAAGAAAUGUCUAAGCAAUGUGAGUAUGUAUGACUGUAAAGUAAGAGUAUCUGUGGGUGUAUUUCACUCAAUUAAAUGUGUAAUAGUUUGUAUUAGUUAAAUCAACCAUUACAAUGUUUUAAACCAUUCCUCCAGUGGACAGUCUAACCUUGGGCAUUGGGCUAUUUUCUGGUGAGGUACUGAGAGAACUAAGGGUAAGCUGAAUCCUAAACAAUGUUAUAAAUUUUCCUGCCAGAAAAUUGUGUUGUAACAAAUAUUAUAAAUUGCUGAUGGCAUUUGCCAAAAGUCUUGGGGUCAGCUGAAAUAUCCAGUUACAAUACAUGGGAGUAAAUGUGGGGUUUGGGUAGGGAUGUGGAGUAAGGAGAAGACACAAAAUUUUGGCAGCAUAUGGCAAUAACUUCAAUUAAUAUAUUGCAUUUCAACCUUGUGAAUAGCAAAAUAAUUACAAGAGUCCUUCACUUUAUCUGUCUCUAAAAUAUUUCUGGUAUAUUUGUGCAGUCUUUACAGAGCCAGAUAAGCUAGGAAGUUAAUUCAAAAUUGGGCACUGUAUUACAAGUUGAAGAAGGAUUUGUGGAAAUUGUUUACUCCCAGUCUUGGAUGAAAUUACAGAAUUAUUUCUAGCUCCCAGAUCUUUGGAUCAUUUAAAUUGCCUUUUCAAACUUUUCAUUUUAUAGCCUAUUGGUGCUUUGUGCAUUUGUAUGGAGGAAUGUGGAGAGAUGCAUUAGUUAAUUUUGGCAUUUGGUAUUUUAAUAUAAAUAACACCUGCACAUGUGUGCAGUUUCUCUCUUUUACGUGUAGCUAAUGUGCCUGUCCACAGAUCGACCAAAAAAUGGUGAGGAAAAGGAGGGGGGGGGGGGGGGGAAAAAGCACAGACCACUACCUUUUUGAAGUUUUGAUAUAGUUAAAUUUUUUACAAACACCUCUGUCCAAUCUGUACAGGGAAACUUGUGCUUGUGUUUAUGAUCAUAUCAUGUUUAGUAUACUGUUCCUUACAGCUACUGAUUAAUUACUUGACCUCACUGAAUCAGUCUUGGUUUUUGCACUUGUCGGUCUAUAUAUUCAUCCUUCUGAAUUCACUGCCUUCCCUUUAGCAAGAAACUUUUGUCCAUGAAAUUGUUUUAAAUUAUUGGAAAUAACACAUUCACUCAACAAAUUCAUUUUCUGUCUGUCUUAUAACUCUUCCCUUCUAGAAUAUUUCCUUUAAGGUAAUUGGGACUUGUGAACACUUGUAUUCCAGAUGUUUCUCCCACAGUGCAGUUAAUGUUUAGUCUUCGCAAUGUACAUUUCUGUUGAGCUGCUUUUCCCUUCAGAUUGUGGGUGGUUUUAGUACUUAUUGUGUAUCUAGUUUUUCAAGCCUCGCAACUUUACUCAGAAUGAUUGCAAUGUAAAAAUGGGCUAGUGCAAUUUAAAAAUUAAACAAGGCAAGUUGCACUCAGAGGGAACAGUGUUCAGUGCUGCACAUACAGUAACUGUUUCAGCACCCCUACUAGCAAUAAUCUAAUUUCUAUAAAUGGUGCCAUGGCUUGUAUAUUGCCUUCUAAUCAACAUGCAUUGCAGCUUUUAAACUGGACUCCUUUCUAGUGCUGAAGAACAUUUGACAACCUUUAUCUUCUAAAGUCAUCAAAUUGCUCAUUUUACUAGCAAGGUACCUUUUUAGUGUGUACUCAUUUUAGUCCAAUCUAUAAUAUUGCUGAUGAUGUUGUAAUAACAAACUAAAUGUAAAUUUGAUCUUUUUUUUAUUGGCUGAUGACAAUGUCUAUUAGAUUAAAUAACUUCAAUUACCUAAAGUUAAUGAUUUUUUUUAUUAGCACACCCCCGUACAUGUCAUUCAUUGCACAUUUUAGGUACUUUUUUAUGACCUAGUUUGCACACCUUGAUACAAAUAAAUGCUGCAGAAUCAAUAUUUUCACUGUACUAUUUGUCUCUGCUUCAUUGAAUAUAUUUUUCCUACAUUGUCAUAACUUCUGAAGUGAAGAAACUAGCAUUUUUUGGCCAAAUGUAAUAUUGUGAGACAUUUUGUUUGAAAGCAAUGAGUUUUCAGUGUAGGUUCAGUAUCUGUGGCGCUAUACAUUUCUCAUUGACAAUGUAAACAGUAGAAAUGCACAGAAAUCAGUAACCUGCAUAAGAAAUGGAUAUGUGUAUAUGAAAGCUGCAAACUCUUUUCAAUAUUAAAAGGAUUAUAUGCAAACAGUUCACUUAAGGGAUUCUAAGCUACUGUAAAAGAUUAAUUGCAGUUAGAAAUUUAAAAGGUGCCAAACCUAGAAUAGUGAAUGUGUGUGGGGAAAAGAUUAUUUUCCAUACAGCCCCUAGUGCAUAUGACAACAAAAUAUUAAUGUUGGUUUGAAAUUGUUAUCUGCUGUAGUGAAAUAACACACACACUGCUCAUAUCAGAUGAAGUUUGGUGGGUACAUAAAAAUAUCUUAGUUAUGGGAUCAUUCUGGAAAGUAUACAUUUAAAUAUUUUAAAUUGGCAUUCAAAAUAUAUAGCGCCAAUGGAUAAAUUAUGCAUUCAAGAUUUUUGCACUGCAGACAUGUACAUAAGAAUAACAAUAUUGUAAUCCUGGCAAGCAGUGAAUAAUUUCUCCUAAUCCUCGUGUCUUCCUUUGUUCCAUCACUAUAUUUGGUCAAAGCAGCAUCAGACUGAGUAAAUAAAUAUGUAUCAACAAAAAGCAGGUUAUGUGUAAAACUUCCAAAAGCUUAACACUUAGCUUGGAAGAAUGAACUAAUGGGAAAAUGUUACAUUUUAUUGUACCUAUGUAUAUGUACCCACAGUGCACUUUGAUUUAAAUGUAAUGUGUUCAUUAAAUGGGGAUCAUGACAGUGGAUGUAUAUAGAAUUUGUUAAUAAUCUGUAUUUUCUUCAAUAAAAUCUAACAAUAA